rnacentral:lncRNA from 1 species
GGGGGUUUUCCCCAUCUCCUUCAUAAAUAUAAAAGUGUGUUCUUGAUCAGAUUCCCUUAAUCUACCCCUUUCUUAGUCUCUAAUCUCUUAAUCUCUCUAAGUCUCUUUGUUUCUGAUUCAAGUUCAUACGAGUUUCAUCAGACCUCUUAUUCAACUAGUUCAAGACCUUAUCCUUUGCCUCUAAUGGCUUCUCAUACACAUACACAGCCAGAGCUCUCAAAUCUCAUAUGGUAUCAGAGCCAUGUUCAUCAGAACCUGAGCUGAAGCUUCCGCAAACACACUGCUCUCUCCUCAGCUCAAAUCCAAACCAUUGAAGCUCUCUCCAUCCGGUUCAGCUCCUUAUGAAGGAGAAGACUGAAGCUUGGCGAGUUCUCAUGGUUCCUCAUCCUGUUCUCUUCCUGUCCUGAUGGUGAUUCUCCUUGGAAGCAGAGGUGUAUGGACAAGGCCUAGCUAUCCUUGUACCAAGGCGCCUUGUCCAAGAGAAGAACACAUCCGGUUCCAAAGAAGAUGGUGUCAAGAGCUUGGCGCCUAAAGGAGAUGAAGAAAGGAGGGGUCUUUGAAGCUGAUGGUACAAGAUGGAGGCCAUGAAUAGAAGGUGAAAGAGGUGGGUGACGAUCCACACUCUCAAGACCAACAAAGCAUGGUCGGUUUCAUGAAAGGUUAAGGAACCAACCUGGUUCCUUGUGUAAGCGAUUCUUUAAAACCUUCUUGAUAUUGAGCUUGUGGUGUUACUGUGCCUGGCUAGUGUGAUGUGUAUUGAUUGAAAAACCCUGAGGAUAAUGUGUGAUUGCUAAAUAUAAUUAGUUGAAUCUGUCCCAGGAUGCUUUAAAGGCUUGUUUAGUGUUUAAAGAGUAAAAUGCUUGCUCCUGUUAAGUAAUGAGUUUGCUAAAUGUGAAAUGAUAUUGUUUGAAGCUCAUGAACUGAAAACAGAUUGAAAGUAAUGCAUUGUCUGAUGUUAAGUGAUGAUAGUAAUGCUUAGCCUAAGUUAUAAAUGAAUGUGUGAUGAAUUGUAUUGUUGCAUUCAUGAAUUAAAACUGAUUAAGGUUAGUGCAUACUGUCAAAUGGCUGUCUUACAUUGAAGCAUUAGAUUCAUGUCUAAAUGCUGAGUAAAGAAGCUUUAAAAAUUGCCUAAGUAGCUUGUAUUGAAUCUGUUAGGAUCAUGCUAGUGCUUAGAGAGUUUGCUUGCAAAGAUUAGAACUUGAAAAUGUCUAGUUUAAUCUGUUGCAUUGCUUAAAGACAUUGGUGUUCAAACUUGAUGAUGCAUCAAGGGUUGACCCAAUGCACUUGUGUCUUAUCUUUGCUGGAGUUUGAGUGAUGUUUCAGGUUCACAAGAGGUGUUCUUGGUUCACCAUCCAUCCGAGUUGAAAGAGGAAGACUUUGCCCAUUGUGUGGAGCAAUGGAGAGUUGAGAAAGAAGUGGUGAUGCGCCACUGGUGUGAAGUGUCACUGAAGCUCACUUGCAAGCUUGGACCUAUACUCAAUCCAAGCUUGAGGAGGGGAGUUUAGUGAGCUUCCAAGCGAUCCAAGAAGUCCAUUCCAAGCAUCUGAAGAAGGAGCCAUCCGGGCUUAGGCUGUGGCGAGUCUAUUCAAGAGAGUACUCAAACUAAGACAGAGUAUUCUUGGCUGUGAGAAGAUGAAGGCAACUCUAUCAAGGCCGCUUCUAGUGUGAAGUGAUUGGAGAGAUAGCUGAAGCUUCCACAAGCAUUCCAUGAAGAUGGCAAGAUCAGAAGAGGAGCGGCAAUGGUGUGUGUGUGAGGAUCAUGAAGCAAUCCAUUCAAGCUUGUUCCUGUGAGAGUCUCAAGCUUGAGGGGGAGUGUUGAAGCUUACAUGAUCCAAGAGAGCUUGGUGGUUACUCUAGAAGAAGAAGAAGCAGCCAAGACUCAGUAAGAAGAAGUUGUAUCUCCAAGAAGAAGCUGAUCUGGUGUGUCCGAGCACUUCAACCUAACAAGAGGUUAGGUGAAAGGGGGAGAGACCAAGAUUAGGCAGUAAGGAGAGUACAAGGCGUGGGGUGAUUGUAGAGGCCAUGAUCCAGAGUCUUUGUGUCCCUUACAUUGUUGGUAAGGCACAAAGACUCACUGGCCAAUCCCUAGGCCUUGGAGACUUUACUCUUUUUCCCUCAUCAAGGUUUUGUCCCAAAGGGUUUUCCUUGGUGAGGUUUUUAAUGAGGAAGUUCUUCAGGGUUCCAAGCUUGACUUAGGAUCAACUAAAGUCAAGCUUGAGGGGGAGUGUUGAACUGAAGAGAAGAAUGGAGCUUGUGCAUAAAUAGGGGCAAGCUCUUGAAGAUCUUAAGAAGAGUUCUAUGAAGCUUCAGAAGUGAUGAGAAGCUGAUAUAAGGUUGGGAUAAAGGCUAAGAAGAGUUCAGAUAGAAGUGGAGUAGUCUUUGGAUGAGUUAAGGAGAGAAAGGUAGAUGGUGCAAAGAUAGGGACAGCCAUGUACGGCCAUGUACGGAUGGUACGGCCCGGGAAGGACAUGGCUGAUCCAAAAGAGUUUCUAUCAAGUCUUGGGAUGUUUUGGAGUUGUGCAAAGAUAGGGCGCGAUGUGAGAGAAGCAACCCUAAUCCGUACACUCAGCUGAUGAAGACUUGUGAUGCAAGGCAUGAAGAAGGCUUAGGGCAAGAGAGCAAAGAUCCUAAAGGCAUAUGCUGUCCGAGAUGCUUUAGGAAGUAACCAGGAAGGUGCUGAGCUCUCUUGACCGUUUAUGGAUAAGAAACCUUAUCCAUACAGCUUGUUCAAAUUCAAAUAAGCAAGCUGGCAUGAGCUGUAAAGUAAAGGCAAAGAAGAAGUCAUGUAUCUGGCCAAAGGAGAGGGAAGAUACAUGGAGCUUUAAGAAAAGCAAUCAGGCGCCAGCAAGCAAGAACCAAUCACCAUUCAGCCUUCCUUGACCAGAUCCAAAGCUACAUCCAAGCCAUUCAUUUCCCAAAGUCAUUUAGAGCCAUCAGAUUUAGGUUUAUGAGUUUCAGAGUGUGAAAACAUAUAUAAACUGAUGUAUGGACGUUUUGUAAGCUCUAAGAGAGUAUGGGGGUUUUCCCCAUCUCCUUCAUAAAUAUAAAAGUGUGUUCUUGAUCAGAUUCCCUUAAUCUACCCCUUUCUUAGUCUCUAAUCUCUUAAUCUCUCUAAGUCUCUUUGUUUCUGAUUCAUGUUCAUACUAGUUUCAUCAGACCUCUUAUUCAACUAGUUCAAGACCUUAUCCUUUGCCUCUAAUGGCUUCUCAUACACAUACACAGCCAGAGCUCUCAAAUCUCAUAUCAGGUACCAUUGCUUGAGCCUCACUAAAGAUGUUCCGGG